rnacentral:rRNA from 1 species
AUUGAACGCUGGCGGCAGGCCUAACACAUGCAAGUCGAGCGGAUGAAGGGAGCUUGCUCCUGGAUUCAGCGGCGGACGGGUGAGUAAUGCCUAGGAAACUUCCUGGUAGUGGGGGAUAACGUCCUGAAACGGGCGCUAAUACCGCAUACGUCCUGAGGGAGACAGUGUGGGCUCUUGGGACCUUACGUUAUCAUAUGAGCCUAGGUCGGAUUAGCUAGUUGUUGGGGUAAUGGUCUACCAAGGCGACGAUCCGUAACUGGUCUGAUAGGAUGGUCAGUCACACUAGAACUUGGACAGCGUCCAGACUCCUGCGGGAGGCAGCAGUGGGGAAUGGUAGACAAUGGGGGAAAGUCUGAUCCAGCGAUGCCGCGUGUGUGGAGAAGGUCUUCGGAGUGUGAAGCACUCUUUGUUGUGAGAAAGGGCAGUAAGUUAAUACGUUGCUGUUUUGACGUUACCAACAGAAUAAGCACCGGCUAACUUCGUG